GGGCGUGUGGCUCAGUGGUAGAGCGUCCGUUUUGCAUACGGAAGGCCCCGCGUUCGAUCCGCGGCUCGUCCA